rnacentral:rRNA from 1 species
GGAGGAAUAUUGCGCAAUGGGCGAAAGCCUGACGCAGCAACGCCGCGUGUAGGAUGAAAUCCUUCGGGAUGUAAACUACUGUUAGAGGGGAAGAAAUCCCGGUUACGCCGGGAGUGACGGUACCCUCAGAGAAAGCCACGGCUAACUCUGUGCCAGCAGCCGCGGUAAUACAGGGGUGGCAAGCGUUGUCCGGAAUUACUGGGUGUAAAGGGUGCGUAGGCGGGUCGGUAAGUCAGUGGUCAAAUCCUAU